AUGUUUCACAAUUUGACUCACAUGGAACUUAGUUUUGAUUAUAGCACAUGGAAGAGGAGCCGUCUGUGGUUGACUGGAAUACUCCCACACUUUCCCAAUCUUCAACAUUUUAACAUUCUGGUACUGUUUUGGAAUUGUCCGGGUGCAAUGGAUAUUUGUUCUGAAUGUUUGAAGGUUCCACCCAAUCCCACCAUUGUUUUAGGAUGUCUUUCAUCACAACUUAAAGCAAGCAAAAGGUUACACAUGCAUAGAAUGAGCUAUAUAACAUUUAAACUUUUAUUUGAUUGA